rnacentral:rRNA from 1 species
GUAGGGUGCAAGCGUUGUUCGGAAUUAUUGGGCGUAAAGAGCGUGUAGGUGGUUACAUUAGUCGGAUGUGAAAUCCCUGGGCUUAACCGAGGAAGGGCAUCCGAAACUGUGUAACUAGAGGACGGUAGAGGGAGGUGGAAUUCCUAGUGUAGAGGUGAAAUUCGUAGAUAUUAGGAGGAAUACCGGCGGCGAAGGCGGCCUCCUGGCCCGUUCCUGACACUGAGACGCGAAAGCGUGGGUAGCAAACAGGAUUAGAUACCCUGGUAGUCCACGCUGUAAACGAUGGGUACUAGGUGUUGCGGGAAUUGACCCCCUGCAGUGCCGUCGCUAACGCAUUAAGUACCCCGCCUGGGAAUUACGGUCGCAAGAUUA